rnacentral:rRNA from 1 species
AUGAGAGGAGAGGAGCCUCCACCCAACCCAACCCAUCCAACCAAGGAGCCCGUCCCAUCCCACUCCCCACGACGUCUCCCCUCCCAUCUCUCUCGCACCCACCUCGCCGCCGGCCAUGGCCGCCCCCAUCCUCUCCACCCCUCCCCCGUCAUCAGAAGAGAAGACAAGACGAGAUGGAGGGAGAUCCACCGCGACUCAGCUGGUCAGGCGGCGCGCCCAGAUCCGGCCUUGCUCUGGCCGUCGCCGAUGAGCUGCGCCCAGUUUAGCCAUGGCGCGACCGAGCAGGCGAGGAGGGAGACUAGACUCCCCCCCCUCUCUCUCUCUCUCUCUCUCUCUCUCUCGGGGGGCGCCGCCCUUCAUCUGCUCCCGCGAUGGCGCCGGAUCCACAUCCACAGCCACGGCCCCGGCACCCAUGGAGUGACCGUGUGCUUCUUCUCCAUGGACAUGGAGCUCCCACAACACACCAUGGAAGGCCUGGAGCUCCUUCUCACGGCAGGUGCACCGCGUAUAGGAGGGAAGACCAACGCUCCUCCAGGUCUGCUUCUUCCCGGGUCGCCGUUGCUCCACGGAAGGAGAAGCUCAGGCUGCCACCACACAAAGGGAGAGGAAUCCAAGAUGAAUCUAUCCCGCCUUACUGUCCAUGACCGACGACAGAGACAGCUACUUUGA